UUUUGAGUUAGUUUUUAUUCAGUAUACUAUUGCUAAACUCUAUCUUUUGAUUUCCUUUAAAACUAACCAACCGAAGCUUUUGGGAUAGCAUCUUAUGAUAAGGAUCUUCAUUGUUUUGUUUUUCUAACACCAUUCAAACCUCCAGCGAAUCUCUCACAUCGCUUUUACCUUGCUCCUGCAUAUAGACGUUCUUCAAGUCGCCUCAUUGAACGGAUGUAUUUGUUUGCUUCUUUUUGCACUUGUGUGACCACAAUUACUUCUGUCAAUUUCCAACCACUUCUGAGCGACCAAGGUUAUUGAUGGUUUGAUGACGACUUGGUUUUGGGUUUUGGAUUUGCUUGCUUAAUCCAAGGUAAUUUGGGAAACGCGGGGAAUAAGUGAAGAGUGUCGUGAAGAUAAAGAUUUAUUGUAUUUCGGUAAUGUAAAGAAAAUAUAAUUAGGUUCUUUUCGUUUUUAAACUUUAGAAUUAGUUUUUGAAUUUGAUAUCUGUAAUAGUGACACGUUAGCCUAUUACAGGUUGGGGUGUUACAAUUAUGGUAUCAGAGCGAAGGCUCUUUCCUGUAGAAAACUUAAACCUUAAAAAGUAAACAUGUGAGUUAAUGGGUAGACGUUGGGUUAGGAUUCUGAAUUUCGAACGAUUUUCGUACUCUCUAUUUUGUGACCCUUGAUAUGCCUAUUCGCAACUUUUGUCAUUUUUUUCUUUGCUAGUGUCAUAUUUUGCAUCUCAACUGUAGGAGUUAAAUUAUUAUUAUCAUUACGGCUUUAUUCAGGAUUUCAUGAAAAGACUCGGAACACGGUGGAUGACAUGAUCUAAGUAAGUAUGACCUCGAACGAACUUGACUACGUGCCACAAAAUCCUUGCUACCAUUCGUGUUUCAAGAAGUGUUUCACAUCUGAAUACAACUCACUGAAUUAAUGCAUAUGCUUUAGUUAUCAUCUAUCUAUUUCUUAGAAUCUUUGCUAUUGACCUUGCUUCGUUUAUCAUCACUUCGUUUCCCUUACAUUUGAAUAGGUCAUUGAGAUGCAUGACGGGAUUACCAUUAGGGCACAAUUGUAAGAUAAUUGACAAUUAUGGUCAUGAACGUAAUCGUGAAUUAUAGGUACAUAUGUGCGCUCUUGGAUUCCUAUUAUGUAGAUUUAUGUCAAUUUGAAUGUUUUAUGAUCCAAAGAUUUCAUCGUUCUUAAAAAACAUUGCUCGUUGUUUCAUGUUACACGUCUACAUGCCUAUGAUGAGCAUACCUGAUUUUUGUUUUGCUGCUAACCUCUCUUUAGUUUCAACCAUAUAAUAUUAUUGAUCUUGACAUAUUGAGUAUGUUUCGUGUCUGGAAUUAUGAUGGCCUCUAAAGUCUGUUUGGUACAUGUUAGAUUUGAAUUUGCUAGUAAAUCAUACUUAAUAAUUUCAGUGACAAACUUUUAUUUAGAUAGGUAGAAUUAUAACACCAGAAUAUAUAUGUGUAGGGGAGAGUUCAUUGGGGAACACCAAAAAAGUGGGGAACUGGGGAACAGGGGCAAUUUUGUCAAAAUACUUUCCAAAAUAUAAUGCGUUUAUUAUUAUUAUCAUUUUUUUGAAUGGGAGUCUUUUCCGGUUGCCAUAAGCCGCCACCACCAUCACGAUGAUCCUGAAUAACUGUUAAACCACCGAUUUCCACCAACAGAUUCCGGUGAAGAUCGGCCAAUUUUCAUCUACGUUUAUGAUUUAAACUUGCAAUUCAUCCAAUUUAUCUCCAUUUUGUUUCAAUCCGGAUUACCAACAACAUCAUUCACCCUUUAGAUCUAGGGUUUCAUCGUUCAGAAAUCAAUUCAUCAGAGGCUCAAGGAUGUCAACUGAAAUUGUGAGGUGAGAGGGGUGAUAUCGGAUUUCUUUAACCUAUGUCCUGAUGUAAAGACUCAUACAAAGGCUCCAGCAGAGGCGAUUGAAAAUCUUCUCACACCACUUGGACUGCAGAAAGUAAAGACGGAAAGGAUACAAAGAUUAUCUGAAGGAUAUUUAUGGGAUGACUGGACAUACAUCACUCAACUCCAUGGCGUUGGGAAAUGCCUAUGCAAUAUUUGUUAGAGGGUAGUGGAGGCGCAUAAUACCCGCAGAUCAUAUGCUAGACAGGUACCAGAAAAUUCGCAGACGGUGUUGAGUUCGUGAAAAGCCCCCUAAACUGAUCAGCAAACCAGAAAAGCUGCAGUUAUAAAAGUAAAGCCAAAAAUUUAAAUCAAAAUAUCACAACCAAGUCAUUCAAGAGCUAAAAAUGAUGCAAGUAUUUGGUAUUUGUUUAGGGCCUCUUUAGCAUGAACCAAUAGCAAAUUAGAGUAAGAACAGUUAUAAGGCAUGAAUGCAAUUGCUGCAACAGUUUCACCAGAAAGGUUUGAACCCGGUUGCUCAGUAUUCAUUUUAUAAUCGGUUCGUGGCAUUGUAAUGUCUUAAGUGCGCAGCGCGCUCCCAACAGAAGAAAAUUAAUAGUUAUGUGAAUAUGACCUUUGUGUAUCAAGCCCGUAUAAAUAAUCUGAGAUUUAGCUUAGUAAUUUGAUUGUUUUGUGACAAUAUUCAUUAAGGUUAGGCUGGGUUGAGGUUCUUUUUGCACCUGUGCUAUUGUAAAAGGGUUUUCUUUUUUGACAUUUUCAAGGCCUUGAGUUGUUUGCUUUGUAUCUUGUUCUCCAGUGGUAUUUAAUAAUAUUAGCAUUGC
rnacentral:lncRNA from 1 species